CACGAAUAUAUGAGCAUUACAGCUAAUUAUCCUGAUGAUUAUUCAUUAAUGCCUGUGUCUUGCAACAAGGGAUAUUGCAAAAUAAUGCAAGUUAUUUUAAACAUUGUAUCUUUACUUAAUAGAAUCUUGCUAGUUACAAAUCGUAUGUUUACAGUAACAUCCUUUACGUUAAAUGACAUUCCUCCGCCUCCCUGUCCCCCGCCACCUUUACCUAUGCUUGCCUCUCGUCCCCUCUCCACCUCGACUGACCCCUCCCCAGUGUUACCCACUCACCCGUCUCCAUCCGCUGCCCCGCUCUCUGCCCUCUCGACCCUUACUCACCCCACCGCCCCAGAUCCUCCAGACCCUUGUCCUCCCGCUGAUCCCGCUUCCCUUAUGCCUCCCGACCUCUCUUCUACCUCGUUGUCCCCUCCCCUCCCGACUGAUUUGCCAUCCCUGAUCUCUGCCCUCACUGCCCUGACCCAGCCCCCCCCCCGUUCCUACCCCUCCGACCCCUUCUCCAGUGGUACCCCCCUCCCGAUAUCCCGGUCCCCUCUACCUCGUUGCCUCCUCCCCUCUCGGCUGAUUUGCCGUCCCUAAUCUCUGCCCUUACCGUCCUGACCCAGCCCCCC